rnacentral:rRNA from 1 species
AUUGAACGCUGGCGGCAUGCCUUACACAUGCAAGUCGAACGGCAGCACGGGUGCUUGCACCUGGUGGCGAGUGGCGAACGGGUGAGUAAUACAUCGGAACGUACCUUAUCGUGGGGGAUAACGCAGCGAAAGCUGUGCUAAUACCGCAUACGCCCUGAGGGGGAAAGCGGGGGAUCGAAAGACCUCGCGCGAUUAGAGCGGCCGAUGCCUGAUUAGCUUGUUGGUGGGGUAAAAGCCCACCAAGGCGACGAUCAGUAGCAGGUCUGAGAGGACGAUCAGCCACACUGGGACUGAGACACGGCCCAGACUCCUACGGGAGGCAGCAGUGGGGAAUUUUGGACAAUGGGGGCAACCCUGAUCCAGCAAUGCCGCGUGAGUGAAGAAGGCCUUCGGGUUGUGAAGCUCUUUUGUCAGGGAAGAAACACCGGCUCUAACACAGUCCGGGAAUGACGGUACCUGAAGAAUAAGCACCGGCUAACUACGUGCCAGCCGCCGCAGUAA